rnacentral:rRNA from 1 species
GAUGAACGCUGGCGGCGUGCCUAAUACAUGCAAGUCGAGCGAACAGACGAGGAGCUUGCUCCUCUGACGUUAGCGGCGGACGGGUGAGUAACACGUGGAUAACCUACCUAUAAGACUGGGAUAACUUCGGGAAACCGGAGCUAAUACCGGAUAAUAUAUUGAACCGCAUGGUUCAAUAGUGAAAGACGGUUUUGCUGUCACUUAUAGAUGGAUCCGCGCCGCAUUAGCUAGUUGGUAAGGUAACGGCUUACCAAGGCGACGAUGCGUAGCCGACCUGAGAGGGUGAUCGGCCGCACUGGAACUGAGACACGGUCCAGACUCCUACGGGAGGCAGCAGUAGGGAAUCUUCCGCAAUGGGCGAAAGCCUGACGGAGCAACGCCGCGUGAGCGAUGAAGGUCUUCGGAUCGUAAAACUCUGUUAUUAGGGAAGAACAAAUGUGUAAGUAACUAUGCACGUCUUGACGGUACCUAAUCAGAAAGCCACGGCUAACUACGUG